ACCAAGCUAAGAGGCUAGAGCCUAUGGUUAAAGUUUUUGCCAAAUUGCAUAGGCUUGCCCGAAGAAAAGAUGAAUUUUGAUUUUUCCAAGCCAAGCCAAACUACUGGCUCUUCACCGAUCUCCCUUCUUCGCUGAAGAACUGGAAGGAUCGGUUUUUCAUUCUCAUGACUAAGGAUCGAAACGGUUUUGAAGGGAUCCCGCGCAAUUGGAGUUAUUUGGUCCCCCAACUCCCUAAGA
rnacentral:misc_RNA from 1 species